rnacentral:rRNA from 1 species
GUUGUAUGGUUAAGUGACUAAGCGUACACGGUGGAUGCCUUGGCAGUCAGAGGCGAUGAAGGACGUAUUAACUUGCGAUAAGCCCAGAGAAGGUAGUAAAAACCGGUGACUCUGGGAUUUCCGAAUGGGGAAACCCACUUACAUAAGUAAGUAUCGUGUUGUGAAUACAUAGCAGCACGAGGCGAACCGGGGGAACUGAAACAUCUAAGUACCCCGAGGAAGAGAAAUCAACCGAGAUUCCGGUAGUAGCGGCGAGCGAAACCGGAUUAGCCCUUAAGCUAGUUUUGCGUUAGGUGAAAGUUCUGGAAAGUUCUGCGAUACAGGGUGAUAGCCCCGUAACCGACAACGCAUUAUCAGUGAAAACGAGUAGGACGGGACACGUGAUAUCCUGUCUGAAUAUGGGGGGACCAUCCUCCAAGGCUAAAUACUCCUGACUGACCGAUAGUGAACCAGUACCGUGAGGGAAAGGCGAAAAGAACCCCUGUGAGGGGAGUGAAAUAGAACCUGAAACCGUGUACGUACAAGCAGUAGGAGCCCACUUGUUGGGUGACUGCGUACCUUUUGUAUAAUGGGUCAGCGACUUAAUUUUAGUAGCAAGGUUAACCGUUUAGGGGAGCCGUAGGGAAACCGAGUCUUAACUGGGCGAAUGAGUUGCUAGGAUUAGACCCGAAACCGAGUGAUCUAGCCAUGGGCAGGUUGAAGGUGAGGUAACACUUACUGGAGGACCGAACCGACUAAUGUUGAAAAAUUAGCGGAUGACUUGUGGCUAGGGGUGA